rnacentral:rRNA from 1 species
CCUACGGGUGGCAGCAGUAGGGAAUAUUGCUCAAUGGGGGAAACCCUGAAGCAGCAACGCCGCGUGGAGGAUGAAGGUUUUCGGAUUGUAAACCCCUGUCAUGUGGGAGCAAAUUAAAAAGAUAGUACCACAAGAGGAAGAGACGGCUAACUCUGUGCCAGCAGCCGCGGUAAUACAGAGGUCUCAAGCGUUGUUCGGAAUUACUGGGCUUAAAGCGUGCGUAGGCUGUUUCGUAAGUCGGGUGUGAAAGGCGCGGGCUCAACCCGCGGACGGCAAAUGAUACUGCGAGACUAGAGUAAAGGAGGGGGAACCGGAAUUCUCGGUGUAGCAGUGAAAUGCGUAGAUAUCGAGAGGAACACUCGUGGCGAAGGCGGGUUCCUGGACAUUAACUGACGCUGAGGCACGAAGGCGAGGGGAGCGAACGGGAUUAGAUACCCUUGUAGUC